CGCCUCCGGGUGACCCAAACCGGCCGCAGAUUCCCCAGGUGGACCGAGGCGGCGCGGGGACGCCUCCAUCUCGCCCCAAAGGAGCCGUCAGGGAAAGGGGGGGGGGAGGAAAGCAGGCUCCCAGAAGAGCCCCCAGCUACACCCCGAGGCGCACCGCGCUCCCUCCCCACCGCAGACUGAAGAGAGGCCGCGCCGAGCAGUAGAAACCAAGUCUCCACAGAAAUCAUCAGGAGGCAUUACUUUGGGAGCAACCUACUCAGCACGUGGAGCAUAAGCUAAUGCAACUAGACGAAAAUAGCAACAACACGUCUACAAUUAAACCCACUGAACAAAAGAAAAGCA
rnacentral:lncRNA from 1 species